rnacentral:tRNA from 1 species
GGAGGGGUGGCCGAGUGGUCGAAGGCGCACGCCUGGAAAGUGUGUAGGCGGGGAACCGUCUCGAGGGUUCGAAUCCCUCUCCCUCCGCCA